AUACAGAGGGUGCAAGCGUUAAUCGGAUUUACUGGGCGUAAAGCGCGCGUAGGCGGCUAAUUAAGUCAAAUGUGAAAUCCCCGAGCUUAACUUGGGAAUUGCAUUCGAUACUGGUUAGCUAGAGUGUGGGAGAGGAUGGUAGAAUUCCAGGUGUAGCGGUGAAAUGCGUAGAGAUCUGGAGGAAUACCGAUGGCGAAGGCAGCCAUCUGGCCUAACACUGACGCUGAGGUGCGAAGGCAUGGGGAGCAAACAGGAUUAGAAACCCGGGUAGUCC
rnacentral:rRNA from 1 species